rnacentral:rRNA from 1 species
UACGGGGGGGGCAAGCGUUGCUCGGAAUCAUUGGGCGUAAAGCGCACGUAGGCGGUCUGUUAUGUCGGAUGUGAAAGCCCUUGGCUCAACUGAGGAAGUGCAUCCGAAACUGGCAGGCUAGAGUACUAAAGAGGAUCGCGGAAUUCCCGGUGUAGAGGUGAAAUUCGUAGAUAUCGGGAGGAACACCGGUGGCGAAGGCGGCGAUCUGGGUAGAUACUGACGCUGAGGUGCGAAAGCGUGGGGAGCAAACAGG